GUGCCUGAGGAAGGGGAGGAGGAAGAGGCAACAGUAAGUUUGGCUGCGGUGGAUCUCAGGCUGCACAGUGGCCUCACCAAAUCAGACAGCCACGUUUCUGGUUCCUGUUGCUUACAAGUCUAGGGCAAUUUCUCAGGACCUAAAACUAGCAAUGAAAAGAAGUCUGAAAACUACAAAGACUGGGGUAUAAAAUUCAAUUAUCAGCUUAAUAAAAAUAGUUUUAAGAUUGUCACAGGGCUGAGGAUAUAGCUCAGUUAGUGGAGUGUUUGCCUACCGUGUAGGAAGCCCUGGGUUUCUAGCUUUGUGCCCUAACACAGCAUAAAUGGAAUGUAAAUAAUGGCACUUGCCUAUAAUUCUAGCACUUGGGAGGUUGAGGCUAGAAGAUCUAAAUUAAUGGUCAUUCUCAAAUACAAAGAGUUUGAAGCCAGACUGCAAUACAUGCUAAUUUCCCAAAAAUUGCACUUCUAGUAGCCAAAUUUGAGCUAGAUUUAGUAGUAAACACGGAUGUAAGGGAAGAAGGCCUUUGAGUAUCCAAUAGCUAGCUGUCUAAAUGAGAGGCCCUCAUUCAUCAAUUUACCUGUUUUAUUUUUUUAGGUAGGGUCUCACUAUGUAGCCCCAGCUGAUCUGGUGGUACUUAUUAUGUAGACCAAAUUGGCCUCAAGCACAGAGUCACCUGCCUCUGCCACCUGAGUGCAUGGAUUUUAAUUUUUAAUCAUCCCACUGUAGAACAAAAGUCCCAUCAGUACAGAACAAUUAGAAGCAAGCAGACUGAAGACAAUUUAUUAUUUUGUAUUUGUGUGUGUCCAUGUUCAUGUGGGUCUACAUUCAUGCAGUCGUGUGGAAGCCAGAGUUCACCUUAAGGCAUUGUUCCUAAGAAGCCAUCUACAAUUUCUUUUUUUUUGAGAGACAGGGUCUUACUAGGUAGCCCUGCCUGGCUGAUCUGCACUCACUAAAUUGGCCUCAAACUUUUCAGAGAUCCAUCUACCUCGGCCUCUUGAAUACUGGGUUCCUAGAGCAGCUUGCCCAGGGCAUCACUUGGUUUCUGCUUGUGCCACCACAUCUGGCUUUUUAAUGUGGGUUCUGGGGAUUGAACUCAGGUCCUCAUGAUUUUAUAGCAAUAACUUCAUGGACUGAACUACCUCCCCAACUUCCCCUCCCCCCUUUCUCUUAAAGAUAUGUUACACUGUAGCUUAGGCUGGCCUGGAACUUAAUGUGGCCCAAGUCAGCCUCAAAGUCAUGCAGUCCUUCUGCCUUAGCCUCUCAAGUGCUAAGGUUAUACAAAUGAGCCAUCAUGUCUGUUUGAGAAGAGUUAAAGUCUAUCUACAACAGUGUAGGGCAAAUCACUUACAUACAAACCUUAGGAGAGGUAGACUACAGGCCAGCUGCAGUGGAAGAAGAGUUAAGGGGAGAUAAAUCCCAGGUCUUGGCGAGUCCCACAUUAUGGCCAGGAAGAACAAGUAACAUGCUAAGCAUGUGAGACCUGGCCUUUUCAGCACAGCCAGCUUUCUCACUCAUGCUCCAUCUGAGCACCACCUUGUCUGAGCCAGGCUGGCUAGAAGAGGAGGGGUGGAAACCCACCUGAAUCCUUCCAGCUGUGGAGAAGCACUAACAAAGUAACAGUGCCCACACAAUCUAGAGAGCCAGAGCAAACAAACGACACUCCCACCCCCCCGCCCAGACUCCCAAAGCCAGCACAGGCAUUUUCUCUUAUUCUGUUAACUACCAGAGAUAGCUUCUACCUGCAAAGUUGCCUUAAGACUCUCUUUUAAAGGAAGGAUUUUGUUUUGUUUUUAUUUGUCCUAAUUUACUCUUUUCUUGUUUGUCUUGACAGUGACAUUUUUGGGGAUACAUUUUUAAAAUGUAUUCAUAUUUCACCUUUUAAAACUCAGAACAUAACAAAUUCCACUUACUGGAAAUUCAUACUAUUAGAAAUCCCCGAAGUACACUUAAUAAAAGGAGGUUAUUAGGAAUAAUUCAUCAGGGGCUGGAGAGAUGGUUCGGCAGUAAAAAGCACUGGCUGCUCUUCCAGAGGACCCAGGUUCAAUUCCCAGCACCCACAUAGUGGCUAAGAACCAUCUGUAACUCUAUUCCCAAGGGACCUAAUGCUAUCUGGCUCUGUUGGGCAUACUAUGCAGGUGGUGCACCGAAAUACAUGAAGUAAUCGAGCAAGGAGAGCUGUGACUGUUUCUUCACCUGAUGGAUGGACACAGCGUUGACUACUGGUUCAAUCAUGCCACUGUCGGCUGAAAUCACAAGAAUCUUAUAUGGCUUGAUCCAAAGAGGCACUCGCUCCUGCUCCCAAAUCGACUGUGAAGAGACACAAAGCUGCUUCAACACCUGGAAAGCCAGCAGCUCCUGCCGAAGGUCGUCUCCACACUUGACAAUGACUGACAGGAGCCGCCAAUUGGGAAGAUGACCAUACGGGGAGCCUUCUCUGAUCCUCCUAGGAAGACAGAAGUCACAGGGUGAUGCCAGGCUAAAGCAAUGCCACUAUUGCACCUUCACUGACUCAAGUAUAGAGGCUUCAGGACAAGAACAGAAUAAUGAGACAAAGGAGAAAAACACAGGCUGACAGCUGGAACUCAUGUAUCUUAAGCCUGGCUUCAAGCUUACUAUGUAACUGAGAAUGGCCUCAAAUUCCUGCUCUCCCUGCUUCCACUAUAGUGCUGGGACAUAGGUGAGCUGCCGCACCCAGCUUCAUCUCUUCAGUCUAACCUCACUUGUUACUAUAACGUACCCUGUCAGGCCUCAAGAGGUCUCCUGUCCUCCCUUGUAGCAGAGCAAUCUCAGCUCCAGCCAAUGCACAGUGACUUGUGAGUCUUCAUUUUUCUUCCUAAAUGGCUAUGUCUAACCUCAGCUUGACUGUAAGAAAAACAGAGAUCUGCCUUUGUCACCCAAUGUGCUACAUAAAACGCUGUCCUGCUUGCCUUCCUAUAGCCCCAAACUAGCUUGAGUUUCUUCCCAUAGCUACCAGGACUGAAUGAGUACAUAGCCUGUCAGGUUGUGCUAACCUCUCCAGCCUAAUUUGUCACUGCCUCUUACCUCAUACUAUAUAUGCAACGCGUACUGGUUUCUUCCAGUUCCUAUCAUGGCCAUGCUCCAUUUUCUCCUCUGUACACAUUCCUCUAUCUGAAUGUUUUUUGUUCUGCCAUUCUAAACAUGCCUCAGGCCUCAGCUGAAAGGCUGCUGCCUCCAGGAAAUCCUUUGACUCCCACCCCAAGUCUGGAGGAAGUACCAGCUCUGGGUGCUUCCAUGAUGUCUCAUGCUCCUCACUACAGUGCAGGCCACACCACACUGCAACUACCAGUUGUCUGGUCUGAUUCUGUGAGGUCAUAAAUCCUUGCAGGUAUAAGCCAACUCUUGUUCACUAGUAUACAGUACUCAGGUGUGGGACACAGAAAGUCCUCCAUAAACUUUUUUUCUUUUCAGUUUUUCAAGAAAGGUACAGACUGACCUCAAAUUCUCUAUGUAGCUGAGGCUGGCCUUGUGGCCUUGAACACCAAAUCCUUUCAGAACACUCAACCUUUCAGCUGGGAUUAUAGUUGUGAGACACUACAUGCAGAUAUUAAUAUUUUUCUCUUUUUAAAAUAUUGAUUUUAUGCAUAUGAGUGCCUGCAUGUGCAUCAUGGAUGUGCAAUGUCCACAGAGGCCAGAAGAGGGCAGCAGGUCUCUCUGGAACUAGAGUUAGACAGCUGUGAGCCACAGCAAAGGUGCUGGGGACUGAACCCCUGUUUCUAUAAGAGCAGCAGUGCUCUUACUGCUCACACAGAUCCCUUGGCUCUGCCCUGAGUGCUGGGAUUAAGGCCUGCACCACCACUGCCCAGCUCCCUUUAUAUAUUUGACCGAAUGCAGGUAUGGCUUGUCAGUCUGCUGUCCUAAAUCAACUUUAUAUAGUGGGUGUUCCAUGAAUAUUUUAUUAUAUUUCCCUCCUCCCCUAGUCUAGAUGUUCCUUUUUACUUCCAAUCUGAAUUCCUGCUGCAGGAGAACAAGCGUGAGCCUAUUCCAACCAGCUGUUCAGUGCCUGUCCUUCUCACACCUUACUACCUGCAACAUUCCUCUGGGCGCUUGCACCAUCUGCUAACAGGCAGGUUCUCUACGGAUCGUGUGCUCCGAAUUCGGUUCUCAGGAAUCCGAGCAGGAACACUAGUUGUGUCGAAGUUUUCACAUUCAAGAACUUCCACGUAGAUCAGUGGGGAGUGUGGCCAGCCGUUUGCCGAUCGCCAUCAAGGAUUUGAUGAAUUCUCGUUCAGGGGCCAGCCGGACAGGCUACAGAGGGUUGGGAUGAAACAAAAGAUGGUGAAGAAGACAUUGAAAAAAGUAGCCUUAUUUGCUCCUGGCUAGGGCCCCGGUAUUUAAAGAACCCCAGGAAAGGGGCUACCUUUGGCCAUGGUAGGAAUUUUCACCCUACUCCAGCUUGAACGGGGGAGAACACAUCCCUUCUCUGAAAGCUACUUCCAGGGGACUCAAGAUCGCCUGAGCUCAGCUCACUGAGAAAGAAUCCCUUUUUUUUUCCCCUUGGACCUGAGUUCCUCAAAGACUGCCCCAAGCCUUUAAUACAGGCAAGGGGACAAGGUCUAGAAAGGCCAUCCAGGACCUCAGACAGAAGAGCGCCUACUUGAAGUGCUUUACUCAUCUCAAGAACAGGGUCAUCCCUUCUCCCAUCUGGGCCCUCGGGCUGGCUCUGUGCCAAGGGGCUCUGGCCAGGCCUCACAGGACUAGGGAAAGGGACCUGAAUCAGUAUUUCCCCUUUCAAAGAAGGAGAUGCUCUUCAUCCUGAAACUUUUGUUGUUCUCCAUGGCGCAAACGCCAACUACCCCUCAUUCUCGUAAGGGCUAAGUACACAAGCAGGGAUGAGAAGAGAAUGCGCAAACUGUAUUAAUGAGGGCAUAACCAUUGGGAAAGAAAAGGCGGGUGGAGGGUGGUGCUCAUAGGAGGAUGGAAUAAGCAAUAGCUCCUGUUCGCCGUUGGUGGCCCUUCUGAAGGCCUGUCUCUAGCAAUUCCUCCCUGGGUUCUCUUCGCAUGCCUUUCACAGACUUGACCCCCAAUUUUAGUUCCCUGUGGUAAGCUUGGUUCCUCAUGCCAGGUAUUUCAGCAGUUCCCAGAAAGGGCAAGGUAGAGUGGGGAGAAAGAUGGAAUCAGACAGACAUGAUGAUGAGCUCGACUGGUCUAAGCCUGUCUGCCACAGGGACCCUUUCUCAAGACAGCCACAAAGCGUGGCAGAGAGGAUCGCGACUCUAAUCCGAGCACCUUGAAAGUCACGGCAAAGAAGAUCACAAGAUGGAGGCCAGCUUGGGCUAUAACAAAGAAUCUGACUCAAACAAACAAAACCCCAUAUGCUGGGCAUGGGUGUAACAACUGACCUCAAACUCCGCCACUGACUUCUAAGUGAUCACCACUACCUGGCUUCUCCAUCCCCCUCCCCCGCCUUUUUUUUUUUUUUUGAGACAGGGUCUUUCUAUGUAGCCUGUUUGGCCUAGAGCUCAAGCUAUAUAGAUCAAGCUAGUCAGCCUUUAGCUCAUGGAAAUCCUCCUGCUUCUACCUUCUCAGUGCUGGGAUUAAAGAUGUGCACCACUAUACCAAGUCUGCUUAUUUUUCUGAUUGAGAAUUUCUACCCUUACUGCUCAUACAUACUACAUGAAAAAAACAAAGAACAUCUUUUGUUUCCUUUUUUGUUUUUGAGAUUAAGAACAAACUUUAUUCAAGACUUCUGUUAAUGAAAAAAUUUGUUUUGAAAAUUUCAUAUAUGAGUAUACUGUAUUUAUAUCAUUUCCACCCUUCCCAUAUCCCCCCUACUCCCUUUUGAAUUCAUGAUCUAUAAUAAAAAUUAUUUUUUUAAAGUA